GACGAGACGCUGCAGAGCGGCUGCAGCUGCACGUCACACGCCCACGCUGGCCCGCAAUGGAAUAAAAUGUUCGGGGUCGCAGAGAGCGGCGGGAGCUGGGCGUAAGUGAAGUUGGAGCGCAGAGCUGGUCGGGAAGACAAGUCACUAAGACACCGCUGAACAGGAGUGCACACAACCUUGGAGCAAAGACCUGGACAUGGUAUUCCACUGAGAAGAAUCAUGUUAACCACUGACAAUACAUGGCAACCUGGUCCCAUGGAAGGAGGUCUUCUUUGCGGAGGCUGCAGAUGUUAGCAGCAAGAUCAGCAGCCUGAAAACUUGAGUCUCCUCAGGCAGAUGUACUGACACAUAGUGAAAACAGUUGAUCGUCGAUCCUGGUAUCUCACCUUCUUGGAGGUGGCUCUCCAUGUCAAUCUGUUUUAUUCUAUGAAGUGGCAUGGGGCACAAGAGAAGACAGCUGUUGCUGGUGUUAAAUUGCUCCUGGGUGUUGCCGGUGAUGCCACUGUAGUUUUCAUCAAAGGUGUAAGGUAGAGCUACACAAGCUGCUUUUAUGUUGCACUGAAGGCUAACAGCAAGGAAGUGUGGCUGAAGAUGAAUGAAGAAAAAGAUAAAUGAAAUAACUUCCAAGAAGUUGCCAAUCUCCUGCCAAGUCCAAAAGCACUCUCCGAGAAGAAAUGCUCUCAGCAGCAACCUUCCAUCAUGACCGUCCCUGCAGCUCUUCAGCUUCACUGAAGAACCAUACCCCACUGUACACUAAUCUUUGUGAACCUGACAUUUUGCUGCCAGUUCAAGAAACAGGUCAAUUGACUGAUCAAACCAAAAUCCUUGGUUAAAAAUGAAUUUAAUAACCCCUUUCAAUUUUUAAAUAUCUUGCCUGACAACCACACAGAGGUUCCCCACUUACCUUUAAACCCGAUGUGGAGAAUUCUAAAAGAGGACAGGAUAAUGUCAGGAUGAACUCUCAGCAAGAGCUCACCCAAACCUGCUGAAAAUUGGAAAGAUGAUAUUGAUAGAUUUUUGAUAGGCCAUGGUAAUAAGUGACAUGGAACCAUAGUGGUAAAUGGUGUAAAACACGAUCAGCUAUGAUCUAAUUAAAUGGCAGAAAAAGCUUGAGGAAAUGUAUAACCUAUUCCUGUUCUAUGUUCCUAAAUCUGGAUCUAUUGUUAAUUAACUGAUGGCGAUUGAUUACAAUGAUUAAUGAAUGACUCCACUAUCAUGGUAUCAUUCAACUCCCAGGAUGUCAGAAAGCAGCCUUGGAAUUUGUCUUUUCUCAUUUUGCAAUUCCUCAUGACCUAUUCUGCACAAUAUUAACAAAAAGCAGGGUAUCACCAUUGACUGAAAAGAGGACCAAUAGCAAGUGAUGGAAGAUGAAAAGAUCACGAUGGUGCAGUAAAAAGCACAGAUUGGCUAUUGCUGACAUUAAGACAGAUGCACAAGGUCCUCAUUUACCAAUUAAAUGGAAUUUAUGCUGGCCACUUCUACUGGAUAUACUUAAAAUUACUCAACUACUCAUAGGUUCACCUGUUUUUAAAAAAUCCUGAAUGUAUUAAGUUUAGUGGCAAAGUCAGUGCGGAUGGGAUUGUGGAGGUCAGAUCCUUUCACAAACAUUAAAAGGUUAGUCGUCAUGGUUUUGGAGGAUUCCUUCUAUUCAGUCCCGAAAAAUCUGUCACCCAUUUUGGUCCUUCAAUUGUGAACCUGCAGAUGUGUAUGAAUCUUCAUUCAGCCUUGGAACUAAGGAUAUCAAUAUUCCCCAGAUUCCAGUGUCCAGUCAGCAUUUAUCUGUCCUCAACAUCUUAAAAAUAACACAGAUUACCUCAUCAUUAUCACAUUGUUGUUUGUGAGAGCUGCUGUGUGUAAAUUGGAUGCCUCAUUUCUUAUAUUACCACAGUGACUUCACAUCAAAAAUAUUCAUUGGUGAUAAUGUGCUUUAGCUUUGACAUGUCUUGUGGUUGUGAAUGGUACAUACUUGUGAGUCUUGUCUUUUUGUGCCUAAUGGAUGUUAAUUAUUAGCAUUGGCAUUUUUAAUUUGAUAAUUAGAUUGAUACAACUAAAUAAUAAAACUUGCUCCCUAAAAGCAUUGUGGGUCUACCUACAGUAUAUGAAGACACCUCACCACCACAUUCUCAAGGGCAACAAGAGAUUAAUAAUACCUACUGGCCCAACAAAUGGUGCCUAUAUCCAAUAAAUAAAUUUUAAAAUGCCCCUUUUUAAAGGGACAUGAAUAUCGACAUGAUACAAAGAGAAAAAGGAAAUGUAUAAUUUUACAUGACACUCGUUAUUACACUGUCAACUAUGCCUCCCAGUUCUUCUGAUUUCAAGGAAGGGCAUAACUGCAUGGACUGACACUGUGUACUCUCUCAACAGGUUCACACUGGUAAGAACAUAACCACAAAAAUGAGGCAAACAGCCAGUGUAAAGUAGUUGACAGAUGGUGUCUACCCAGGAGCUGUGAACGGCCGCCAAUCUGUAUUCCAGGAGUAGACUUGAAGAAUUUCCUCUGAUUUGCCUGUGUCCUCUACCUCCUUCCAUAAAGGAUUGCCAACGAUUAGAAGCAUGUGACUCAAAUGCAACCAGAAGUUGAGUAACAGUUCCUUUAAAUAUUGAAGCACAGGCUGUGCUCUUACACUUAACAAAUAUAUAGAACACCCAAACUGCAAACUUUAGAAGCAGCCUGAGAGUCUGUGAGAUGAUUUACAAACCUACUGGAGGCAUUACUCCAUGUAAAACUCUCCAAACCACAUUCCCGAUGGAUCACAGGCAACCUCCCUCUAUUGGGAAGUUCAGCUUCCACCAAAUAGGAUGUUGGAGAGUGUCUAGUUAGAAGAUCAGGCGGAGGAACUGGAAAGUAUGCAACAGCAGCUUUUACAAGAAACUCCUCCACACAGACCCAGUUGCACUUGCCUCAUAAUUUAUGGUUUCACAUUUAAUCGAUGGGAUCUUUUGUCAAUUAAUACAUUAACUAAUAGAAAGUAGUUGUUAAAAUGCACCUCUGCUCUUUGCUAUAUGUGGAUCUAAGGUGUAACAUUCGCUUUGAAUUAUCAUAAUCCUGUGGACCAAGUUAAAAAUCAACUUGGUGAAAGUGAGGACUGCAGAUGCUGGAGAUCAGAGUCAAGAUUAGA